UAAAAAGAAAAUGUUUGGAAUUAAUCAGA
rnacentral:piRNA from 1 species